AUAGGUUUGUCUUGUUUUGCGUGCAAAUUGUUAUGUUAAUGCAACAAUUGUGCACCUUUAUCUAUUUCUUGCUUAACAUCAUGGUGAUGGUGCUUACUUGCAUGAUUGGUUGAUGUUUAUGUGACGUUGAGUCUUGAAUAAUGGUAAAUGCUUUAUUGAAUUCUUAAAUAUUUGUUUUGGUCCAUGGGAUUAUCAUCCAUUAUGCAUGCUUUUCAGUUUAGUGCUGUUUUCUUCUGUUUCUAAGCUCUUGCUUUUCUGGUAACCUUACCAGUUGUCCUUAAUUUAUGAUGCCAGAUCAUGGCCCAAGUUAAUGUAUUAAUAUUAAUGUGCAAAUACAAGGCAUAAAUGAUCUGUGAUAUCUUGGGGAUAAGAACUACUCUGCUAUUUACUGUGUACUAGAUAUUUGCCUUUUGAAUUUGGUAAAUAUCUUUGCUUGUGAGUCCAUAAAAGCUUAAUUAUGUUAGUGUGCAUUUUAAUGUGGCCCUUAUCUGUAAUUAAUUUUCCUUAAUUGCUAGUAGUCUUUUGUUGAGGUUUAUGAUCAAACCAAGUUUGGAUAGUCAUGACCCAUGAGUGGGUCCUGGAGCCAAUUUUUUGUGAAAGGAGUAAUGCUUACCCCUUUGGAUAAUCAGACAAAUGUGGAAGAAUAUUUCGUUAGCAGACAAAAUAAGACUCAUAUGCCUAUAAAUAAAAAGCUUAGCUUGGCCGAUUUUGCUAUUAAUUAGUUGUGAAGAGAUGGCAAAAUUAUCCUCCUCCUGCCUUUUCCUUGUCCUCCUAUUCUUAGCAGCAGGUCAAUAUCUCCUCACUCUCUUAUUUUUCAGUUUGCGUUCUUGUGUUUUAGUUGUACUGUGCAUACAGAUCUAAACUGGGUUAAGGGUUUUGUCUAAGACAGAGAAACCAAAACUCAAACAGAUCUUUGAAAUGAUCUUUUUCUCUUGUACCUUUUUCCUCUUUCUUUCUCUAUGAAUUGUGUCCAAUGUGUUAUUAAUCCAAUUCUUUCCUGGUAUCUUUUUGGCAAGAAUAUGACAUGGAUGCUGAAUUUUCUUGUGGCAGCUGAAGGUGGACUAUGCCAAGCAGGAGAGCCUUACCAGUGUAUUAUCAGCUGGGACUGUCAAGACAAUAAAGCUUGCAAGAAGGAAUGCAGCACCAAUUACCGGCGAGGCCGUGGAUUCUGCACAGGCAGUCCUAAAGCCUGCUUAUGUACCUAUGAUUGUUCUCAUUGAUAUGCUUGUAGAAUUGUAUGCAAGGCAAUAUACAAGAUACCAUACAAGAUGGAAGAUGAAACUGUAAUGCUUAAAAUAAAGUUACAAGAUUUAUGAUGGUGUCACAUAUUCUAAUUGAAAUGUAUGAUCUGCAAUGAAGAGUUCCUUCUGUUUCACAUAAGCAAUCAAAGGGGUUAUGUGAAAAUUUCACUACUUGGGAUUGGGUUAUUCUUUGAUUGCUGAUUCAUUUUGUGUUGGUAGUCAAUUGAGAAUUAUUGGAAGGUGUUAUUGACCAUGA
rnacentral:misc_RNA from 1 species